GAUGAACGCUGGCGGCGUGCCUAAUACAUGCAAGUCGAGCGAACAGACGAGGAGCUUGCUCCUCUGACGUUAGCGGCGGACGGGUGAGUAACACGUGGAUAACCUACCUAUAAGACUGGGAUAACUUCGGGAAACCGGAGCUAAUACCGGAUAAUAUAUUGAACCGCAUGGUUCAAUAGUGAAAGACGGUUUUGCUGUCACUUAUAGAUGGUUCCGCGCCGCAUUAGCUAGUUGGUAAGGUAACGGCUUACCAAGGCAACGAUGCGUAGCCGACCUGAGAGGGUGAUCGGCCACACUGGAACUGAGACACGGUCCAGACUCCUACGGGAGGCAGCAGUAGGGAAUCUUCCGCAAUGGGCGAAAGCCUGACGGAGCAACGCCGCGUGAGUGAUGAAGGUCUUCGGAUCGUAAAACUCUGUUAUUAGGGAAGAACAAAUGUGUAAGUAAAUAUGCACGUCUUGACGGUACCUAAUCAGAAAGCCACGGCUAACUACGUG
rnacentral:rRNA from 1 species